UACGUAGGAUGCAAGCGUUGUCCGGAAUUAUUGGGCGUAAAGGGUGCGCAGGCGGUUUUUCAAGUCAGAUGUGAAAUCUCCCGGCUUAACUGGGAGGGGCCAUUUGAAACUGGAGGACUAGAGUGCAGGAGAGGAUAGCGGAAUUCCCGGUGUAGUGGUGAAAUGCGUAGAUAUCGGGAGGAACACCAGUGGCGAAGGCGGAUCUCUGGGCCUGAUCUGACGCUGAGGUGCGAAAGCGUGGGGAGCAGACAGG
rnacentral:rRNA from 1 species